UGAGGAAUAUUGGACAAUGGGCGAGAGCCUGAUCCAGCCAUGCCGCGUGCAGGAAGACUGCCCUAUGGGUUGUAAACUGCUUUUAUACAGGAAGAAACACUCCCUCGUGAGGGAGCUUGACGGUACUGUAAGAAUAAGGAUCGGCUAACUCCGUGCCAGCAGCCGCGGUAAUACGGAGGAUCCAAGCGUUAUCCGGAAUCAUUGGGUUUAAAGGGUCCGUAGGUGGAUAAUUAAGUCAGAGGUGAAAUCUUGCAGCUCUACUGUAAAAUUGCCUUUGAUACUGGUUAUCUUGAGUUAUUAUGAAGUAGUUAGAAUAUGUAGUGUAGCGGUGAAAUGCAUAGAUAUUACAUAGAAUACCAAUUGCGAAGGCAGAUUACUAAUAAUCAACUGACACUGAUGGACGAAAGCGUGGGUAGCGAACA
rnacentral:rRNA from 1 species